CACCGAAGCAACCAUGUCCAGUGAGCA
rnacentral:sRNA from 1 species